UACGGAGGGUGCGAGCGUUGUCCGGAAUCACUGGGCGUAAAGGGCGCGUAGGCGGCUCGGUAAGUAGGGGGUGAAAUCCUGCGGCUUAACCGCAGGGCUGCCUUCUAAACUGUCGAGCUCGAGCACGGUAGAGGCAGAUGGAAUUCCCGGUGUAGCGGUGGAAUGCGCAGAUAUCAGGAAGAACACCCGUGGCGAAGGCGGCUCUCUGGGACGGUACUGACGCUGAGACGCGAAAGCGUGGGGAGCGAACAGG
rnacentral:rRNA from 1 species